rnacentral:tRNA from 1 species
UAUAAAGUAUUUUAUUAAAAAUAAAGUUUUGAAAAAGCUUGGAAGAGCGGGGAUCCUGCUCCUUUGUGU